GACGAACGCUGGCGGCGUGCCUAAUACAUGCCAGUCGAACGCACAGUUUAUACCGUAGCUUGCUACACCAUAAACUGUGAGUUGCGAACGGGUGAGUAACGCGUAGGUAACCUGCCUGGUAGCGGGGGAUAACUAUUGGAAACGAUAGCUAAUACCGCAUAAUAUUAAUUAUUGCAUGAUAAUUGAUUGAAAGAUGCAAUUGCAUCACUACCAGAUGGACCUGCGUUGUAUUAGCUAGUAGGUGAGGUAACGGCUCACCUAGGCGACGAUACAUAGCCGACCUGAGAGGGUGAUCGGCCACACUGGGACUGAGACACGGCCCAGACUCCUACGGGAGGCAGCAGUAGGGAAUCUUCGGCAAUGGACGAAAGUCUGACCGAGCAACGCCGCGUGAGUGAAGAAGGUUUUCGGAUCGUAAAGCUCUGUUGUAAGAGAAGAACGGGUGUGAGAGUGGAAAGUUCACACUGUGACGGUAUCUUACCAGAAAGGGACGGCUAACUACGUG
rnacentral:rRNA from 1 species